CCUACGGGAGGCAGCAGUGAGGAAUAUUGGUCAAUGGACGCAAGUCUGAACCAGCCAUGCCGCGUGAAGGAAGACGGCUCUAUGAGUUGUAAACUGCUUUUGUACGGGGGUAAAUAUCGAUACGUGUAUCGGGUUGAAAGUACCGUACGAAUAAGGAUCGGCUAACUCCGUGCCAGCCGCCGCGGUAAUACGGAGGGUUCAAGCGUUAUCCGGAUUUAUUGGGUUUAAAGGGUGCGUAGGCGGUGCGGUAAGUUAGGGGUGAAAUCCCGGGGCUCAACUCCGGCACUGCCUCUGAUACUGUCGGGCUAGAGGUUAGUUGCGGUAGGCGGAAUGUAUGGUGUAGCGGUGAAAUGCAUAGAGAUGAUACAGAACACCGAUUGCGAAGGCAGCUUACCGGACUACGACUGACGUUGAUGCACGAAAGCGUGGGGAGCAAACAGGAUUAGAUACCCGGGUAGUC
rnacentral:rRNA from 1 species